UACGAAGGGGGCUAGCGUUGUUCGGAAUCACUGGGCGUAAAGGGCGCGUAGGCGGCUUUUCAAGUCGGGGGUGAAAGCCUGUGGCUCAACCACAGAAUUGCCUUCGAUACUGUUAGGCUUGAGACCGGAAGAGGUGAGUGGAACUGCGAGUGUAGAGGUGAAAUUCGUAGAUAUUAGCUAGAACACCAGUGGCGAAGGCGGCCAACUGGUCCGGCACUGACGCUGAGGUGCGAAAGCUAGGGGAGCGAACGGGG
rnacentral:rRNA from 1 species